rnacentral:rRNA from 1 species
UCGAGAGGGUUCAGACCCUCGGCGGACUGCUCAGUAACACGUGGAUAACCUGCCCUAAGGUGGAGCAUAACCCCGGGAAACUGGGGAUAAUACUCCAUAGAUUAGAGACACUGGAAUGUUCUUUAGUCGAAAGUUCUGGCGCCUUAGGAUGGAUCUGCGGUCGAUUAGGUUGUUGUUGGGGUAACGGCCCAACAAGCCUGUAAUCGAUACGGGUUGUGGGAGCAAGAGCCCGGAGAUGGAAUCUGAGACACGAUUCCAGGCCCUACGGGGCGCAGCAGGCGCGAAAACUUUACAAUGCAGGAAACUGUGAUAAGGGAACUCCGAGUGCCCGUAUACGCGGGCUGUCCAGGUGUUUAAAAAUCAUCUGAAGAAAGGGCCGGGCAAGACCGGUGCCAGCCGCCGCGGUAAUACCGGCGGCUCGAGUGGUGGCCACUAUUAUUGGGCUUAAAGCGUCCGUAGCUGGACCGAUAAGUCUCUUGGGAAAUCCGCCGGCUCAACCGGCGGGCGUCUAAGGGAUACUGUUAGUCUAGGGACCGGGAGAGGUGAGAGGUACUCCGGGGGUAGGAGUGAAAUCCUGUAAUCCCCGGGGGACCACCGAUGGCGAAGGCAUCUCACCAGAACGGCUCCGACAGUGAGGGACGAAAGCUGGGGGAGCGAACCGGAUUAGAUACCCGGGUAGUCCCAGCCGUAAACUAUGCGCGUUAGGUGUACUGGUGACCACGAGUCACCGGGGUGCCGAAGGGAAACCGUGAAACGUGCCGCCUGGGAAGUACGGUCGCAAGGCUGAAACUUAAAGGAAUUGGCGGGGGAGCACCACAACGGGUGGAGCCUGCGGU